ACGAACGCUGGCGGCCUGCCUAACACCUGCAAGUCGCACGCGACCUUCGGGUCUAGUGGCGCACGGGUGCGUAACGCGUGGGAACCUGCCCUUAGGUUCGGAAUAACUCCCCGAAAGGGGUGCUAAUACCGGAUAAUGUCUUCGGACCAAAGAUUUAUCGCCUUUGGAUGGGCCCGCGUUGGAUUAGCUAGUUGGUAGGGUAAAAGCCUACCAAGGCGACGAUCCAUAGCUGGUCUGAGAGGAUGAUCAGCCACACUGGGACUGAGACACGGCCCAGACUCCUACGGGAGGCAGCAGUGGGGAAUAUUGGACAAUGGGCGAAAGCCUGAUCCAGCAAUGCCGCGUGAGUGAUGAAGGCCUUAGGGUUGUAAAGCUCUUUUACCCGGGAUGAUAAUGACAGUACCGGGAGAAUAAGCUCCGGCUAACUCCGU
rnacentral:rRNA from 1 species